UAGAAAACUAUUUAACUCCAAAAAGGAGCAAAAGCAAGAAAUGAAAAAGAUUGCCUGUCUUGUUUGCUUUCAGAGAUUUCUUAACUUUGUUCAGUUAAAUCAGGGUUUCUCAACGGGGCGGUAGCGACCCCCCAGGGAGAAGAGCGAGGCAAAGUCCUUGUAUGUGAAAGUUUCACCAUGAACGUCGUGUUAUUGACUUGGUUACAUAUUUACAAGAGGGGUGUUCCCCUGAAAGCACCGAGCGUCCAGCAUCCAGACACACAGUAGCUGUGUCUCACACACACAGUAGCUGUGUCUCACACACACAGUAGCUGUGUCUCAAUUCAGGGGCUGUAGACCGAGCAGCCACAACAGGACUGUCCGAUUUCGGAGACUCAAUGCGCCCAGAGAAGUUAUUUUCUGACGCAGCCGUAGCGACAAAUGGAUAUACUUUUAAAUGGAGAAGGAGACAGGCAGAAGAGAGGAGAGCAGGGAGAGGAUGGACAGACUCUUCUCUCUGCUGGAGAAACUUGUUGACAAAUGAAAUGAGAAGAGAGGGACAGAGGAGGAGAUACACAGACCGAUGGAUGUUCAUUUGUUUGUCUGGAGGAUGCAGGUACUUGAGGGAUCAAAGAUGCCAGACGGUCAAAAACACUCAUUCUGUUAGGAAAUCUCGGAACGGAGACUGGAAAACAACGCGUCAAUUUUUCCAAAGCUGUCAGCUUUCAGGGAGUUCAUCAUAGUUUGCAGAAGUUCGGCAUCGAGUACAUUAGCUUCAACCACCUGGCGAGGGUUUGUUGCGGCCUCCCCUCGCUGUUUCGGAUUUUUGACGAGCAGAAGACAUUUUGGCUUAUAAAAGUUACAUAAAACGAAUCUUAAGUAUAUGUUCUAUGUUUUCCAACAAUAAAUGACCAGAAUCGUGCCGUGAUUGAUUAAAUUAAGUCACAUUCUCAGGAGCAGCGGGGAAACACGCCGCUCCUGUCCCCCCUCAUCAUAUGUUUUUAAUGUUAAUUCUUCAUUUGCAAAGCAUCUAGUGACUACAGCUUUCAGAUAAAUGUAGUGGAGUAGAAGUAUUAUUCAGCAUAAAAUAGAAAUACUCAAGUAAAGUACCUUAUAAUGAGGUACAGUACUUUAGUAAAUAUACUUUCCACCACUGUUGCAGAUACACUUCACGCAUCUUAAACAUUAUUUUACUCAGAUAUGAUGAACUUAAUAACAUGCAGAGAGUGAAUCCAAAUAAUUGAGGAUUGAACCGUUUUAUUUUUUAUGAACAAAGGAAGCAUAUGAUCAUCAAAAGAGGGUUGCUACACACCCACAGUUUCCUCACCAUGCUGUCAAGUAAAAACAAUGAAAA